GGCGGGGUAGCUCAGCGGCAGAGCAACGGACUCAUAAGCCGUCGGUCGUGGGUUCGAAUCCCACCCCCGCCACCA
rnacentral:tRNA from 2 species